CCCAUGGACGCUGAGAACCUGCCUCUAGUCAUGGCAGAUUGACUUUCCAGUGGCUGGACAAUUGCCCGGUUGAAGGUCACCCUGUGGAAACCUCUUUCCUGGUCAUGCCAGCGUGUUUGGGAUGCUGGAAACACAUACAUUUCCUAAUGACAAACAAUUUUUUAAAUAUCCAUUGCUAUCUGGACAAAAUCAACCACAGGUCACUGCUUAGGCGUUUCCAAAAGCUGGGGGCAGGGAAGCAUGAUUGCCCAGCAGGGUGCUGAUUAUGAGACUUAGCCCACAUCGCCCUGAGCCAGGUUCCUCUAACUCCACACUUGAAAAGGUGUCAACCUGCGGUAGAGACUGCCAGUUUCCUGCUUACAAACUAUUGCUCUUUGCCCUCUUUGUAAGGACCUUCGGAUUUCAUCUAUGGUGGUGAUGUUCCAGACAAAAGACUGAAUCUCCCAUUUUCCCUCGCAGGAAGUGUGACCACAACCUGCAGCAGCCCGUGGUUCAGGGAGCGGAUCCGCGCCCACGAAGCGGAGCUCGA